UUUUAUGAUUCAAUUUUGUUUUAGUCGCAUAUACUUCAUAUUAAACUGUACUUGUAGUAGAAGAUUAUUCUUAUAUAAGCUUCAUGGUGAUUGGUGGUAGAGAGGUUUUAUUGAAAAACUUUAUGCUCUGAGCUGAUAUUUUACCUCCUCUUAUUAGUUGAGAAGUACUAUAGAAUAUUAAUUUUAGGACCUAAUGUUUCAAACCUUUCCCCAGGGGUGGCUGGGCCCCACUGAUAUCGAGUUUUUUAUACCCUCUACUCUACUAUUUUCAAGGCACCCUUCAGAGUACAUUUCUUGAUGCGCCACUGCUUUUGCAUUGGAUCUAAAUACCAUAGUCUACACGAUAAAUAAAUAUUUCGGGUCUUUUGUAGAAGAGGGCCACCAGUCUUGAAAUAUGUUCUAUAGCAAUGGCAUAUUGUUUGAAGAGUCUUAUGACGAUCUGUUUCAAGCUAUCUGGCGGGACAUGAACCUAUUCUGGCCUCCACAAGAAUAAACACUUAAUAGUUUGUAACAUAAUUAUUUUUGUUUUCUUUAAAAUGUGUUAAAAUUUUGUCCAAUACAUAUAUACUGAGUGUACAAUGUGGAUUUGGUGGUCCUGUAUCCAUAGAAAAUCAAGACUGGUGGUCCUCUUCUACAAAAGACCCAAUAUUUCUAUAAUGAGACAGAUAAAAAUAUUAAUUUUUGUUAUGUUAGUUUAUUAUUACAUUUGUUUAUGUUUUGUUCAUUAUUGUAUUUUGUAUCAUACAUACCAGAAAUUGGCAGAAGAAUGACACAUUUAUCUUUUUAAUGAAAUAAUUCACUUACAUCAAUGUGGAAUAUACCUAACACCUGACGACGAAAGGGCACGUAGUAUACAACUCCCUGAGAGAUUUUAUACUCAAGUUAUAUUACAUUGUCAAUAAAACAGAUUAAAUGAGUUUGUAGGGAAAGCCUGAUUAUUCUUAAAUUACCUUUGAUGAUAUCAAGACAUAAUUAAUUAAGGCUGUGGUUAUUUUAAAUGCUGUGAAAUAUGGGGCUGUGAAUCUACAAUUUGUGUAGUCAGAUAUGCGAUGAAUCAGAUUUCAUAUGACAAUAACCACACACAAUAGUGUUUUACCACAGGCAAUAAUCAUACAUAAAUAAAUACUUUGUAGUCAUAUUAAGCUAAUAAGGGUAUAAAAUGUAAUUUUUACAGAAGUAAUAGAUAAUAGUUUACGAAAAAUGGAGUGCUUUACUUAGAAUUCUUGUCAAACAUGGAAUAUAGCAUAUAAAAGGUACGCAAAAUAGCCAUUCUUUAUAGAAGGAAAAGUUAUUACAAAUAAUUAACAAUGAGUUUCAUUUAAACCCACAGAUUGACUGGAGAGACAAGAAAUUAUCUUAUCUCGGAGUUAAAGGGACUGAGAGAGAAAUGGAGGAUAUCUUUUCAAACGCGCAGUAGGGCACGCGCAGGUUUAGUGAGGUGACAGCGCUGGCAUUAGCUGUGUUGAGCAGUCACCAGUCACAGUCAGUCAGUCCAGUCGGUACUCUGUAGGUCGUAGAGCCCGAGCGCGAUUGUGUUGUGAUAGUUGGGUUGCAGUUAUUAGCGCGGUUACAAACCACGGUUGGGUGAGGCUUGUUUUGGUUAAUCGCUGUUGACUUCAACCUGCCUGUGGUCUGGCGACCUUACCCGACGAGAUGGAAAACGUUCAACUAAAUUUCACAGUGGCGUCAUGAGAUUCAAGGAUUCUUUGUACUUACAGCGUCCGGUCAUCUCAAGGAUCUUGCCGGGAUGCUGCCUUCUAUUCCUUACUUACUUCCUGAAACUGCUCAUCUGUUGUCCCUCCAUGUGAAGGAGAUCUUCAGAGAUCUUCAAUCAGUGACCUGGAAGCAAGCAGCUAUUCUUCUUGCUGUAUCAGCUAUUCUUCCUUCAUUAUUUCCUGAGUGAACUGGGUAUGGAGUGGAUGGGCCAGCAGGAACUCAUGCAGCAUAGAGCUCUGCACAAUUAACAUGGC
rnacentral:lncRNA from 1 species